GGGCGGUUAGCUCAGGGGUAGAGCAUCGGUUUUACACACCGCAGGCCGGGGGUUCAAAUCCCUCACCGCCCACCA
rnacentral:tRNA from 2 species